CAGCAGAGGCGGCAGUUGCCGGUGAGGAUGGGCCGGGAUCAGGUCCAAGUCUCACUGUCUCUGCUCUCGACCUCGUUCUUUCUGAAUAUGCCUAAUGCUCCUCCACCACCUCCUCCUAAGGACAAGGAUAAAGAUAGAGAUAAGAAUGGAGGUGGCCAAUGUGGGUGAUCACUGAUCAAGUUUAUGAAAAAUAGGAGACUACCUCCCAUGCAGCAUCACCACUAGCUGCUUAUGUAAUGUCAGGCAAUUAGAUUGUGGUUCUUCACUGCAUUUGUGGGAGUAAAAUAAGUCACUUGGAUUGGUGGGCAGAGAAGAGUAUGCAGAUA
rnacentral:lncRNA from 1 species